AGAGAGAGAGAAAAACCCCAGGAUUUGGUUCGUUUUUUGGUUUUUUUUGGAAGUCCUUUUAUUAUUAAUAUAAAAAUACUCACGUAUUUACAGCAAAUAAAUAUAUUUCGGUAACAAAUAAAUUACACUGGGGUGGGGGUUAUACAAAAGGGGAGGGGGGCGUGCAGGGGGAGACAGGCGGGGAGGGAGGGGACAAACAGCCAGGGCAGGGUGGGGACAGAGCCCUGGGAAAGGGACACGGAGGGAGCGGGUGGAGAUAGAAAAAUUGUCAGGGAGAAAAACCCGAAAUCAGCCCAAAAAAACGUCCCGAGGGGUCACCGCCCAGGGCCCGGGAGUGUCCCCAAGUCUGUCCCGCCAGGGGGACGCGGUACCGAGGGCGGGGGCGGUGACCCAAGGGGUGACACGGUGGCACGGCCCGGGGCAGGGCUGGGGACAGCGGUGUCACCAGGGCGGGACCGGUGCCACGGUGCCAGCCCUGUCCCCAGGGCAGGUGACAGUGACAAUCCUGUCCCCACAGCUGGGCACCAGUGCCAGCGUGUGAGUCCCCAAGGUGGACACUGGCACUGGGGUGACACUGCUGUCCCCAGGGCACGUACCAGUGUGGCAAUCCUGUCCCCAAGGCGGGUCCCAGUGCCAGUGUGACAGUCCUUAAGGUGGGCACUGGCGCUGGGGUGACACUGCUGUCCCCAAGCUGGGCACUGGGGUGACACUGCUGUCCUCAGGGCAGGUACCAGCGUUGCAGUCCUGUCCCCAGGCUGGGUGCUGAUGCCAGGAGUCCGUGCCCAGCCAGGUACUGGUGCCCAGUGUCCAUCCCCAGCCAGAUACCAAUGCCAGGUGUCCAUCCUCAGCCAGGUAUCAAUGUCAGGUGUCCAUCCCAGCUGGAUACUGGUGCCAGGUGUCCACCCCAGCUGGGUACCAGUGCCAGGUGUCCAUCCUCAUCCAGGUAUCAAAGCCAGGUGUCCAUCCCAGCCAGGUACCAAUGCCAGGUGUCCAUCCCAGCCCGGUACCACUGCCAGGUGUCCAUCCCAGCCAGGUAUCAGUGCCAGGUGUCCAUCCCAGCCAGGUAUCAGUGCCAGGUGUCCAUCCCAGCCGGGUACCGGUGCCAGGUGUCCAUCCCAGCCAGGUAUCAGUGCCAGGUGUCCAUCCCAGCCGGGUAUCAAUGCCAGGUGUCCAUCCUCAGCCCAGUAUAGGUGCCAGGUGUCCAUCCCAGCUGGGUACCAAUGCCAGGUGUCCAUCCCAGCCAGGUACCAGUGCCAGGUGUCCAUCCCAGCCAGGUAUCAAAGCCAGGUGUCCAUCCCAGCCGGGUACCGGUGCCAGGUGUCCAUCCCAGCUGGGUACCAAUGCCAGGUGUCCAUCCCA